rnacentral:rRNA from 1 species
GAUGAACGCUAGCUACAGGCUUAACACAUGCAAGUCGAGGGGAAACGAUGAGAGAGCUUGCUCUCUUAGGCGUCGACCGGCGCACGGGUGAGUAACGCGUAUCCAACCUACCCAUUACAGGGGGAUAACCUUGCGAAAGUAAGACUAAUACCCCAUGGCAUUUUAUGGUGGCAUCAUUAUAGGAUUAAAGAUUUAUUGGUAAUGGAUGGGGAUGCGUCUGAUUAGCUUGUUGGCGGGGUAACGGCCCACCAAGGCAACGAUCAGUAGGGGUUCUGAGAGGAAGGCCCCCCAAAUUGGAACUGGGACCCGGUCAAAACGCCUACGGGAGGCAGCAGUGAGGAAUAUUGGUCAAUGGGCGAGAGCUUGAACCAGCCAAGUAGGGUGCAGGAUGGCGGCCCUUUGGUGUUUAAACUUCUUUUAUAGGGGAAUAAAGUGGGCUACGUGUAUUUUUUUGCAUGUACCCUUUGAAAAAGGACCGCCUAAUUCCUU